ACACCUCUGAGUCCAGCAGCAUGGUGCAGGCGCUGAACGGCACUGCCUGGUUCGCGAUGGUCCUUGCCGCCCGGCAGUGAACCCGCAGGAUCUCCUGUUCGCAGGAGACGAUCAGCUUUUCCUGGAGGAGAGGGGCUGGAGUCACCCCGGAGACCACAGUCCCGUGAAGACGCGGACGUGCGAGGUGCUGCCUGUCCCCGAGAGUAGGGCGUCAGCGAGGGAGAGGGCUCGCCCGGGUACCACCCCCAGAUGCCGGAGGCCACCCUUGAACCCGGGAGGGCGCUUCUCCCGGGAUUAGAAGCCGGUGCUUCCGAAACACACAGGAAACGUGUCACGUGUCACAACAGCACCAGAUGGGCUGGAGCCUCUCGUGGGGCCAGGAAGCGAGAGCGUGUUCAGGAAGCACGGGACUGCCGAGGAGCCCCUGGUGGCCGAGGCCAAGUAGGGUGCGGUGUGGCUCGUGUGGCCACGACCUCGGGCUGGAGGAGAGGAAUAAAUAGCCCACGGUACAGUGGCUGCCACAGACAAGACCCUCUGAGGGGCUGGACUCGAGGCCCAAGCUCAAGGUACAUGCGCUCUUCCAACUUUUCGGUCUAAGAUUAUCUCAGAACCCAAGAUGAAACCACCCAGCCGGGUCUCUUUGGCCGCACGUCCUGCCCAUCACGCCCCCGGGGGCCAGGGCGCUGGCCUCCCCUUGCCUC